rnacentral:rRNA from 1 species
UACGUAGGGGGCAAGCGUUGUCCGGAUUCAUUGGGCGUAAAGAGCGUGUAGGCGGCCAGGUAGGUCGGUUGUGAAAACUGGAGGCUCAACCUUCAGAGGUCGACCGAAACCAUCUGGCUAGAGUCCGGGAGAGGAGAGUGGAAUUCCUGGUGUAGCGGUGAAAUGCGCAGAUAUCAGGAGGAACACCAGUGGCGAAGGCGACUACCUGGCCUGUUCUUGACGCUGAGGCGCGAAAGCUAGGGGAGCAAACGGG